rnacentral:rRNA from 1 species
CGGUAACAGCUCAAAUUUGAAAUCUGGCCUCGCAGGGGGUCAGAGUUGUAAUUUGCAGAAGAUGCUUCUGGGCGUGGACCGGGUCCAAGUGCCUUGGAACAGGACGUCACAGAGGGUGAGAACCCCGUACCUGGCCUGGUGCCCGCGCCCUUGUGAAGCUCUUUCGAC